AUGCACACGAAGAACUGGAAGGGCUACAUCACUGCGCUCAUCAACGACGCCGCCGCCGUUGCAAAGACCGCGCCACGUUCUCUGCUCCACUCUCGCCCACCGCGCCGAUGCCCGGGCCAGCCUCGGCAACACCCCCAGCGCGCUCGCGGACUACGAUGCCGCGCGCGCUCACGACCGACCCGGCACACCCCGGGGCGCUGCUGUCCUAGGGUGUGGUCCUGCGGGGCCUCGGCCGGUACGCGCGCACGUGUCAGGCCGGUGGAGGUGUGCCGGUCGGCGCAUGGCGGCCGAGGGGUCUUGGCGGUGGAGAACAUCGAGGCGGGAGCUACUCCGGUGAUCUCCAAGGCAGUAGUGAUCGGAAGGGGAGUACUUCCGGAUGCCGCUGAGAGCGGCGAGAAGAUGAAGGACUUUGUCGACAAUCUGCUCGACACCGCCGUUAAGUGCAUGAGGACGGCAUCUCUAAUCUACACUCUUUCCACUGGCGAGGAGCCAGAAGAUGAGCGUCCCAUCCUGGACAUGGCACAGUUCAGGCAAGAAAUGGAGGUGCUCGAUGACGGCACAGCCAUGCCGAUGGACUCAGCGCCAAAUUCGUCUCUUGAUGUGGACAAGAUCUUGAAAGUGCUUGAUGUCAACUGCUUGACCGAGGAUGGAGUGCCACUAUAGAUGGCCAUUA
rnacentral:lncRNA from 1 species